UUCUUUGAUGCAUAAUUACAAGUUAAAAUGGAAUUAGUCAAUCCAGGAGAUGAACUCUCAAGGAAGGUAGAAGCCGGUUCAGGGCUUUGAUUCGAGAAUUAAGCUAAUUGAGAUAUAGAAUUGAGAGAGAAUGAAGUGAAACGAAUUGUACAUAGAUACAGAAUCAAGGUGAAUGCUAUAGAGGAAUGAUCAUGAUUAUGGAUGCACAGACGAUUGUGAAGGAACUGAGGGAGACGUACGCGAGGGGGAACAUAAGGAGUACAAGUGGAGAGCGUAGCAGUUGAAAGCUCUGUUGAGGAUUUCUAAGCAUCUAACCUGUCUAAGCCUGAACUUGAAUCCUUUGUUCAUGAGGUUUAUCACCUUCUUCUUCCUUGCAUCAUCUGCAUAUCUGUCUGUUUACGUGCUUUCGGUUACAUAUAUAUUAUACAUAUAAUUUUGGGGACAGCAAGGAGGAAUGGACUACAUAAUUGGUUAUAUUUUCUUAUGUGAGGAAACUCUUGAGGUUUUAGCCCCUCUACGAAUAAUAUUUGAACAAUAAAGUUGAGGAUUGAUAGGAAAUUCUGACUUUUCAGCAUCUUCCUUACAAUUUAUGAAACAUUAAGUUGGAAUUGGAAUUAUCACGUGCUUGUCUGUUGCAAGUACUCAAUCUCUUCUGGUAUUUUGUGUUACAAGCUUAUGUAUUUUGAAUUAAACAUGCAAUUUUAAAGACUUUUUUCUUUCUAUCUUUUUUAUCUUUUCCUCCCAUUGGUGACUUCUCUAUUUCCUUGAAUAGUGACAAUGAAGGAGUUAGUAAGAAUAUCUCAAACAACAACAACAACAUACCCAGUGUAUAUCCGCAAGUAGGGUCUGGGGAGGGUAGGAUGUACACAGACCUUACCCCAGGAAAGCUAUUUUCGAGAGACCGCCAGCUCGAAAAAAAAAACUCAAGUCCAGGGAUUGGAGAAAGAACUUGGUUUUUGAGAAAAAUGGAGGAAGUACAGGGAUAGAUUUCACAGGAGGUGUCAAGCUCGAGCUGACACAGAAGCUGAUUCUCAAAUGAAGGAAAAAUUGAUUAGCUUGGCCAGGAAAGUUAGGAAGAUUGAUGAUGAAAUGGAAGGGAUACUGAACUUCUCAAAGAGAUACAAGAUGAUGUUCAAGGACUUCACUGGUGAAUCUUUAGGCAGCUAACUUUGCUUUCAGAUACUUAUGACAGCUUGGAGAACCAAGAUGGUAAAGGGGCUUUGCUCAUAGCGUUAUUGUUCUUUUAGCUUUGAUGGUCUGAGUUAUGGCUUGAUGUUGGCAGUGGAAGGGAAUCGCAACUGUUCUGCAGCAUGUUGCAUUUUGAACUUUUCUGCCGGAAAAAUAAAAUGAACUAUAAUUUCAUGGUAUGUGAUUUCAAGUUAAACUAGCUAGGGAUGCAAAGAAUUAUUGUUGUUAGCUUCAGUGUUGUUAAAAGAUCAUUGCAGGACUGCCUAAACCCUAGGAUGCAAAGGAUUGUUGCUAUUAGCUUUACUGUUGUUAAAAGACGAUUACAGAACUGUUGAAGCACUGAGGCUCAGCGGAACACGGUUGGUCACUUUGUCUUGCCUAAGUGGUUGUUUGCUACAAGCACCAAGUCAUUAAGGUGUGUGCCUCAAUGCCAAUGGAAUUUGUUCUCAAGAAGGAAACACUAAAGAUAAAUAUAGCAAGCGAUGUGAUAUAUCAGUUGUUAAGGACACACUAUGGAUGAAUAUGCCAUUAUUCGGAACUGAGAGAAGAAGUUAGAAAUUCAGAAUAAGAUAGAUAUUAACCGGUCUAAAUUAGAAACUUAAACUUGCAUCUUUGCAUUUGAAAUAUAAAUUUAAAAUUAAUUCUGAACUUAACUGAUGCCAUUUUUGCUUUAUAUAUUCCUUUUAAUUGCAGUCUCUUUAACAUAAGAAAUUAUGAGUUCUACAGGAACACGUGAAGUUAGUUCAAUAUUGACACUUCUAUGCUACUCUCUCAUUAACCAAUUUUAUUGUUGUUAACACCUCAUAUUCUUUUAAGAGUAUUUAGCUGCAAAUUGUUAAACUGUAUCAGCUAAUGCUUUGAUGCAAGGAUAUUUCAGCUAUUAUAGGAGACAAAUGAUGGAUUUUGAUAUAUGGCUCAUCUCUUCUGGGAUUGAAUUCAGUUCUAUGCAAGACAAUAAUUCUUCGGAUUUCCUGGGGCCUGCAUUUCACAAUGCAGGGAUACAUUUACAGAAUGACGCAUUUGCACGCUAGGAUCUCUAGUAUCAGCGGAUUGGUGAGCCCUAGUCUUCUGGGGAUUAUCAUUUAUUUUAGUCAUUACAGUAUUUAUGUUAUUAUAGACAGUCAGGUAUGCUGGAGGCCUUGUCCCAGCAACAGUUAGUUAUAGCUUUUUAUGGAGGUUUCAUAGACUAUGUUAGUAGUCAGUAAGAUGUUUUAGCAUGCUUUUGGUAUUAGCCUUGUUGGUUACUUUCAGAUUUUCAGACUUAUUCAGUUUUCGCAUUUG